rnacentral:rRNA from 1 species
AGAGAGAGACAUGCGCGCAUAUCAAUAAGCGGAGGAAAAGAGAACUAACAAGGAUUCCCUUAGUAACGGCGAGUGAAGCGGGAAGAGCUCAAAUUUGAAAUCUUCAAGGUUUUACCUUGACGAAUUGUAGUUUAAAGAAGUGUUUUCUGCUGAAGUUUUGGUAAAAGUUCUUUGGAAUAGGACAUCAUAGAGGGUGAGAAUCCCGUAUUUGACCAUUAUUUUCCAGCUUUGUGAUACACUUUCAAAGAGUCGGAUUGUUUGGGAAUGCAGUCCAAAAUGGAUGGUAAAUUUCAUCUAAAGCUAAAUAUUGGCGAGAGACCGAUAGCGAACAAGUACCGUGAGGGAAAGAUGAAAAGAACUUUGAAAAGAGAGUUAAACAGUACGUGAAAUUGUCAAAAGGGAAGCGUUUGACAUCCAGUGUUGUUUUCUCGAAAAUCAAUUAAAAAUGGCUCGAUUUUGUAUUGUUGAGACCUUAAAAGCUCACUGUACAUUUUUCGUGUCUUUUUUAAUGCACUUUUCGUUUAACAAGUCAACAUCAGUUUCUUUUGUUGUAAAAGGGUCAUUGGAAGGUGGCUUUCUUUUCGGAGAAAGUGUUUAUAGCCUUUGGCCUCUGCAAUCGGAAGAGACUGAGGUCUGCAGCGUAGACUCUUCGGGGUUAGAUACAUUUGUGCUAAGUUAUAGCUUUUUAUAGACAACUUGUUGACUAUAAUUAGUCUUGUAGCUUACUCGCUUAUGCUAUUUUACCUACGCUUAGGAUGUUGAAGAUGUAGCACAUCAU